rnacentral:rRNA from 1 species
UAGGGUGCAAGCGUUGUCCGGAAUUAUUGGGCGUAAAGAGCUCGUAGGCGGUCUGUCGCGUCGGCUGUGAAAUCCCGAGGCUCAACCUCGGGUCUGCAGUCGAUACGGGCAAACUAGAGUAUUGCAGGGGAGACUGGAAUUCCUGGUGUAGCGGUGAAAUGCGCAGAUAUCAGGAGGAACACCGGUGGCGAAGGCGGGUCUCUGGGCAAUAACUGACGCUGAGGAGCGAAAGCGUGGGGAGCGAACAGG